AAAACCGCCACACUGCGCGCGAAAGAGUCCUCAGUCUUCCGUGGUAGAAGCUUAUAUUGUCUGUGUGGAAAGGCCUCGUCACUGCAGUUUUGAGAGUGGAAUCUGGCGACAUGUGAUCGUGACCUGUGGACAAGCUUCUGCCUUUCUGCGAAUGGCGUUUAAUCUUAAAAUAUACAAAAUGCUUGUGUGAACUUGUAGCUAUUUUUGUUCUAAUAGGGGUGUGUGGGGGGUGGGUUUUUUUUUUUUUUUUUUU